rnacentral:sRNA from 1 species
GUCGGGCACGGUGGCUCAUGCCUGUAAUCCCAGCACUUUGGGAGGCCGAGGCAGGAGGAUCACUUGAGCCUAGGAGUUCAAGACCAGCCUGGGCUACAUGGCAAAACCUUGUCUCUACCAAAAAAAUUAGCCAAUUAGCCGGGCAUGGUGGCACACACUACUGGUGGCCCCAGCUACUCAAGAGGCUCCUGCUUGAGCCCAGGAGGCUGAGGCUGCAGUGAGCUGAGAUUGCACCACUGCACUCCAGCCUGGGCAACAGAGUGAGACCCUAUCUCA